GAUGAACGCUGGCGGCGUGCCUAAUACAUGCAAGUCGAGCGAACAGACGAGGAGCUUGCCCCUCUGACGUUAGCGGCGGACGGGUGAGUAACACGUGGAUAACCUACCUAUAAGACUGGGAUAACUUCGGGAAACCGGAGCUAAUACCGGAUAAUAUAUUGAACCGCAUGGUUCAAUAGUGAAAGACGGUUUUGCUGUCACUUAUAGAUGGAUCCGCGCCGCAUUAGCUAGUUGGUAAGGUAACAGCUUACCAAGGCAACGAUGCGUAGCCGACCUGAGAGGGUGAUCGGCCACACGGGAACUGAGACACGGUCCAGACUCCUACGGGAGGCAGCAGUAGGGAAUCUUCCGCAAUGGGCGAAAGCCGGACGGAGCAACGCCGCGUGAGUGAUGAAGGUCUUCGGAUCGUAAAACUCUGUUAUUAGGGAAGAACAAAUGUGUAAGUAACUAUGCACGGCUUGACGGUACCUAAUCAGAAAGCCACGGCUAACUACGUG
rnacentral:rRNA from 1 species